rnacentral:rRNA from 1 species
GUGUCAGCCGCCGCGGUAAUACGAAGGGGGCUAGCGUUGUUCGGAAUUACUGGGCGUAAAGCGCACGUAGGCGGAUUGUUAAGUCGGGGGUGAAAUCCCAGGGCUCAACCCUGGAACUGCCUCCGAUACUGGCAUUCUUGAGUCCGAGAGAGGUGAGUGGAAUUCCGAGUGUAGAGGUGAAAUUCGUAGAUAUUCGGAAGAACACCAGUGGCGAAGGCGGCUCACUGGCUCGGAACUGACGCUGAGGUGCGAAAGCGUGGGGAGCAAACAGGAUUAGAAACCCCCGUAGUCC